rnacentral:rRNA from 1 species
AUUGAACGCUGGCGGCAUGCUUUACACAUGCAAGUCGAGCGGUAACAGGCCGCAAGGUGCUGACGAGUGGCGAGCGGGUGAGUAAUGCAUCGGAACGUGCCCAGUCGUGGGGGAUAACUACUCGAAAGAGUAGCUAAUACCGCAUACGAUCUAUGGAUGAAAGCGGGGGACCGUAAGGCCUCGCGCGAUUGGAGCGGCCGAUGUCAGAUUAGGUAGUUGGUGGGGUAAAGGCCCACCAAGCCAACGAUCUGUAGCUGGUCUGAGAGGACAACCAGCCACACUGGGACUGAGACACGGCCCAGACUCCUACGGGAGGCAGCAGUGGGGAAUUUUGGACAAUGGGCGCAAGCCUGAUCCAGCAAUGCCGCGUGCAGGAAGAAGGCCUUCGGGUUGUAAACUGCUUUUGUACGGAACGAAACGGCUCUGGUUAAUACCCGGGGCUAAUGACGGUACCGUAAGAAUAAGCACCGGCUAACUACGUG